UACGGAGGGUGCAAGCGUUAUCCGGAUUCACUGGGUUUAAAGGGUGCGUAGGUGGGCAAGUAAGUCAGUGGUGAAAUCUCCGGGCUUAACCCGGAAACUGCCAUUGAUACUAUCUGUCUUGAAUAUCCUGGAGGUGAGCGGAAUAUGUCAUGUAGCGGUGAAAUGCUUAGAUAUGACAUAGAACACCCAUUGCGAAGGCAGCUCACUACGGGAUCAUUGACACUGAGGCACGAAGGCGUGGGGAGCAAACAGG
rnacentral:rRNA from 1 species